AUUGAACGCUGGCGGCAUGCCUUACACAUGCAAGUCGAACGGCAGCAUAGGAGCUUGCUCCUGAUGGCGAGUGGCGAACGGGUGAGUAAUAUAUCGGAACGUGCCCUAGAGUGGGGGAUAACUAGUCGAAAGACUAGCUAAUACCGCAUACGAUCUACGGAGGAAAGUGGGGGAUCGCAAGACCUCAUGCUCCUGGAGCGGCCGAUAUCUGAUUAGCUAGUUGGUGGGGUAAAAGCCUACCAAGGCAACGAUCAGUAGCUGGUCUGAGAGGACGACCGCCACACUGGGACUGAGACACGGCCCAGACUCCUACGGGAGGCAGCAGUGGGGAAUUUUGGACAAUGGGGGCAACCCUGAUCCAGCAAUGCCGCGUGAGUGAAGAAGGCCUUCGGGUUGUAAAGCUCUUUUGUCAGGGAAGAAACGGUAGUAGCGAAUAACUACUACUAAUGACGGCACCUGAAGAAUAAGCACCGGCUAACUACGUGCCAGCCGCCGCAGUAA
rnacentral:rRNA from 1 species